rnacentral:rRNA from 1 species
AUUGAACGCUGGCGGCAUGCUUUACACAUGCAAGUCGAACGGUAACAGGUUAAGCUGGCGAGUGGCGAACGGGGGAGUAAUGCAUCGGAACGUGCCCGAUCGUGGGGGAUAACGCAGCGAAAGCUGCGCUAAUACCGCAUACGAUCGGAGGAUGAAAGCGGGGGACCGUAAGGCCUCGCGCGAUCGGAGCGGCCGAUGUCAGAUUAGGUAGUUGGUGGGGUAAAGGCCCACCAAGCCGACGAUCUGUAGCUGGUCUGAGAGGACGACCAGCCACACUGGGACUGAGACACGGCCCAGACUCCUACGGGAGGCAGCAGUGGGGAAUUUUGGACAAUGGGCGAAAGCCUGAUCCAGCAAUGCCGCGUGCAGGAAGAAGGCCUUCGGGUUGUAAACUGCUUUUGUACGGAGCGAAAAGGUCCUUUCUAAUACAAGGGGCUCAUGACGGUACCGUAAGAAUAAGCACCGGCUAACUACGUGCCAGCAGCCGCUGUAA